GGCAACAAAGUAGACAAUCUUGUGUGGAACAAGUAGCUUGUCUCUCAACCAGGGGUUUUUGGAAUUCCUUUGCAACAGACCCCAAUCUAUGACAAGGUCCCAGUAAGUGUUUGCAAUUGUAGUAAUUCCUGAAGUUGACGCUGCCAUUACUUUCCAAAAGGUCCCUCUCUUCUGAUCAUAUAGUGUUCUCAUUACAAGAGCAACAAUAGUUGAGAAAUAUUUGAGGCUAUUAAGCCCUUGCAUUGAAUCUUUCUCUUCAAAUAAGCGACGAAGACACUGCAUAUAUCAUGAAAUCAUACGAAGCACCAUAUUACAUAAUUGUCAAGAUAUCUAUAGUGGGAAAUGGGAAUGAUGAUUUGCGGUGUAAAAAUUCUCAAACCUGAAUAAACCGAGACCAAAAGGGAAUAAUUGCAACAACUAUGUACAAGAUCUUAUAAACAUUGCUGUCUUGACAUGUAUUUGAUCUUGUUUUGAAGUUUCCCCAUAUGUAGUAGCAGACAUAGAAUUGCAAACUCCUAAUUGCUUGAACCUGAAAUAUAAGAGCACAGUUGGUUUUUCGCAAUAAGCACAGGAAAAUUUGCACAUUAUGACUGAGUCAUCAACAUUUUGGUAAAAUGUAUAAGUUUCCAAUAUGAAAAAGGCUGAGUGUCAAACCUGGCUGGUAAGUUGAUCUGCCAAGAUAAAAUCUGGUAGAGUAACCUGUAAAUUGAUGUGUAACUAGUUAGUAUGUACGUAUUUCCUGUGAUAUUGAAGUGUGUGAAUCUGCUGGUACCUUAUAGAGGGGAGCGCAUAGGCAGUGCCAGGCAGUUCUUAGAAAGAAGAAACGACUUGAACGAUAUAAAAUGUUCAGAGGACAAAAAGUUAUUAGAAGAAGAACCUGAAAAAAGAAGACUUAAAUCAUUAGUGGUUUUUCUAUAGAUCAGUUGUAGAAUGAAUGUAGAAGGAAACUAAUGAAUCUAAACUUACAAACACCAAGACAAGUGGGAUCAGCUCUAUCACUGUCUCAUAGCUUCCUGUUUUCGGGUCCAUAUCCAUAUCCAGGUGGAAGAGUGAAGCAGCCAAUGCAAGUACUGAAACACCAGAAGCAAGGAGGAAAACUUGUCUGUAACCUAACUCUGUUCCCUGCUUGAAGCCAAAUAUGAAGGGAUAAUUGACCCGAAAACGCUUCCAGUAGUAUACAUUUACCCCGUACAUGAGCAUAUGGAGGACAAUGUAUCCAAAUAGGCUGCAAUGUUAGAGCUUCAUUACUCGUAUGUAUAGCUUAAACAUGGUUUCUCUUGUAGACAGACAUCAGGAAAGAAUCAAUAUGAAUUUGUAGAAGUCAUAUGUUUAGUUCACCUAUAGAGUGGAAAUAUGUUAUUCAUAUACUUAUCACGAUCCUUAUGCUCUAGAAGGUGCUGUGCACGUACCGCUACAACAAUAGCUGCCACUAAUGCUAUUGAGCAGCCAAAGAACAGACCUGUAGGUGAAAAGUACACCAGUUACGAAAAUGAACAUAUGGUUAUGAGAUGCAGUGUACGAACUUUUGCUAAGCACAUAUCCUGGAUGAAGAUAAUUCAUCAACAUUUUAUUUUGAUUAGAUAGGAAGAGAGUGCUUAUGCUAAUAAGGAUGUAUGCUUACCCACGAAAAAUGUUACUCGGUGCGUUUCUCUUUUAGCUUGUGGUCUUAAAUGUUUCAUUCCUUUCCUUCGAUUGCCAUUGGCAAAAUGUUUUACGAACGUGACCUCCACUCUUUCUAUGAGCUUGUUAACCUAAGGAAAAGCAUAGAUUGAUGAGAAGUUCAAACUUCAAACUAUAGUUGCAACUCGAAUAAACGAAGGAAGAUUUACCUCAUCUGAGUUACCAAGAUCAGAUUUAUCAAUCAUGUCUGAGUAUGAUUUAGAAGCUUUCCUUGAAGUAGUCUGCAUCAGUAAAUUGCAGUUUUAAAAGGCAAAACUAACAAUUUCUACUUUAUAUUGGCAAAUAGUUAUCGAUAACUUCAGUGUAGUACCUUAUCAUACUUCUUCAUGAUCUUGGAGAACGCCAACACAUUUAGUAAACUAAUACAUUAAGUAGCAAAACGUUAGUUGAAUUGAACACUAAAACAACAACAAGUGGGAGAAAAGAAUUGCACCAUUACCGGUAGCUUUUCAGAAGUCUAAGCUUUUUAUAGAACUCAACAAAAGCUUUUUUCAUUUGUUCUUCGGCUUUUUUGAGCUCAUCUUUGCUGAAUUUAACGUUUGCUUUUGAAGUUCUGAUCACAUUUUUCAAAGUCGAGAUAGGUGUUGCGGGAUCAAUAUUGAUUUUUACAUUGUCCAAAAUCUCUAUUGGAGCAGGCCUAAAACGCAUGAGAUUCUUCUUUUCUUUAGAUGUUGAUUCCUCUUCCAGAAUUUCUUCACCAGUCAUCUCAACUUCUUGAAUUGCCUCCAUAUGUGCCCCACCUUUAAACACAAAUCCAAACUAAUUACAUAUAGGUCACGGGUUUGAGACAUGGAAUCAGCCAUAGUAUUCGAAAAAUUGGACUAACCUGGACUUCUGAUAUUAUGAGUAGGAACUACUGAUCCUGGAGACGAAGUAGUAUCAUCAUCCAUCAUUACUUGGUCACUACGCAUACCAAUUGAAGGUUUAUCAACCAUAAUUCUUAGAGCAAUAAGUGCAUCCAUUUGUUUACUCAAUUCAUCAGCUUCAUCCUUCACUUCCCCUACUUUUUUCUUGUAAAAAGUUAUCACCUUGUUGAAUUCAUCAUCAAGUCUUCUAAAGAAAACCAUCUCAUAUUCUCCACCUUGUUCAGAUGACAUAAGAAACAUAGUUUGACUGUGUCCUUGUGACCCUUCUUGCUGCAGUGAACUUACUAAAAUAACUUCUUCAUCUUCAUUGUCAGCUCUACCAGGCGAACCUUUGAAACUGAAUCUACUUUGUAAACCACUAAAAGCUCUGUACAUAGAUAUCCUUCUCUUUAAUGAGCCUUUUGGUGUAGCUGCAACUUCAGGUAAUGGUGCAUUCUUCUUCUUGAAACAUGAUAUGUCUUUCAACACACCCUUUAGAUAAUUAUAAUCCAUAUAGGCUUCUUGCCAUUCAGGGACCAUUUGGGAUGUAAAUUCUUUCCCAAAUUUCAUCUUUAUCAAAACUAUUUGGUUUUUCUUUAUGCAAAAAAAAAAAAAAAAAAAAGUGGGGUGGGUUUUUUCUCUGUUUUACUAAGAAUGAACAAGAUUGGAGUUUAUAUAACAAUGUUGGCUUGGGGUUUUUGGGGUUGUAGCCGUCAGUGAAGAAAAGGUCAGAAUCAAAACUAACAAGGUUGUCGUUGAAAAAUAGAAAGGCAAGAUUUUGGUAAGACUAGUCUUGGUAAAAUCAACAGUUUUUCUUUUUCAUUUCUUGAUCUUCACAUACUGUUUAACAAUGGCGGCACCAGCAGCAACCCAGAAAUUCACUGUGCAAUAAAUUAUACUAGUACCAAGUGGGGGCUCUGUCAGAGAGGUAGCCUCUUCCUCUCAACAAUGGACAGAGCCACAGUUUAGUGUGGUUGCCAAUUUUGAACUAUUCACUAAUUGACUAAAUCUUCUUAUGAUCGUUUGAUAAUGAUCACAUUUAUGAUUUCUAACUAUAAACUUUCUAUCCUACCUCAUUUAUUAGUCUCUCCGUAUGAUUAAAUUAAAAAUAAAUAGAAUUUACUAAAAUAUUAUUAUUUGAUAUUUUUUAGUUUACUAUAAUAAUUAUAAGUAGACGGAGAUAAUAUUAUACUGUUAAAGAUAGAUACAAAAAAUUUAAAUAAGAGAUUAUUUAAAAAGGAAAGAGAUAUCAAGUAAUUUUUUAAUUAUACAUACAAAAUCUUAAUUAAAGGUGGUUGGCUAGUUUGUUUACACCCAUACGUCUUAGUUGUUCUACUUAGAUAGAUAAGGAAAAUGUAUUAUAGAGUACUAGUUAAUAUUUUUUUGCUUUUAAUGAAAUUUAAACCUAAAUUUUUAUUUAUUUUAUUGAACACAAGAUCAUUUUAUGUUUACAGGAGGACCACACUUAUUUCAACAACCUUUACUUUACUUCCUCCCCUACAUAUUAAACAGUGCGUCUAGCUUCAAUUUAAAAGAGUUUCUUUUAAUUUUUUCUUAGUUAGGACUCUCUUCGUUUUAAAAAAAUUGAUCCUAUUUUUUUAAUCUGUUUAAAAAAAAUGACCCUUUUCCUUUUUUGGCAAUAAUUUAACUUUAACUUUCUACGUGGCAUGUUUAAGACCACAAUAUUAAAAGACAUUUUGAUACAUUACUUUAAUAACCACAAGAUUAAAAAGUUUUAUUUCUUUUCUUAAAUUCCGUUACAAAUUAAACUAGGUCAUUCUUUUUUAAACGAAGGAAAUAAUACUUAUAGUUUUUAGUCACAUAAACAAAAGCUCAAAUAUGAGAGAAAACAAAUAAUGCCUUGUUGUUGAUGAUAAGAAAUGUCAUUUAGUAGAUGUUUGAUCAUGUGAUAUUAUAUCACGAUAUGAUAUCGUGAAAUGGAAUCAAUAUUUGGGCAUGUGAUUUUACGUUGAUUCUAUCUCAUGAUUUCAUAUAAUGGGAUGUGAUAUCAUAUUCUCCAAAAGUUAUGAUAUGAAAUCAUAUGAGAAUAUCAUAUCACGAUUUGACUUAUUUUAAUACAAAAAUUGAUCCACAAUGUUUAUAUUUUAUUAAAACAAUCUCACAUUUAUAUCUAUUAACCAUUUAUUUCACAUGUAAAUAAAAUUUAUAACUACAUCAUUACUUUUUAAAAUUUGUCAUUCUUACCAACAUAAGAUUUAUUAUUUUCACCUACAUAUAAUCACUUUAACUCACACUUCACGAUUGUUGAAUAAUAAAAUUUUGAAGAGGCCGUGAAAUGUGUUUCAUUUUUACUCAAAUAUAUUGAUGAAACAAUUACUUAAGUAGAGAACAAAUAACUUUUUAAUAAUUUAUCAUACGAUUUUACGAUUUUUUAUUUAUUUGAUAAUAUCUAAUCAAUAGUUGGGGUUAUUUUAAUAGUUUUAAAACUUAUGAAAUUUUAAUAUUUACGAAAAAAUAUUCAAUAUCAAAAUUUCAUAUCACAUAUCCCAACAAAACUUCAUUUAUCUCAUGAUAUCAUAUCAUGAUAUCAUAUCACAUGAUCGAAACGGGCCUUUGAAUUAAAAUAAAAAAUUAGUUUGAAGGUGAAGGAGUAGUUUUGAAAUAAUUUAAUGAUGACUACAACCGUCCAAAUAGAAAAGAAAAACAGGGAGAAGACAAAGUUUGUAUAAUAUUAAAGCAAAAUGUGUCAUCAAAUCUCUGUCAAAAGAUAUUAUCUCAGCCAAUUGGAUAAGAAAGUACCAUUUACCAAACUUUCUUCUUUCUUUCACCAUUACCCAAAGUUGUUGACAUUUUUUUUUUAAUUCCACAAUAAUUAUUUGCAAUCGUUAUAACCUUUACUUUUAACUUUUUUGGAUGCAUAACCUUUACUUUUAACUUUUGGAUGCUGGGUAGGUAAUAGCUUCACUUUGAAAUAGUCCAUAAAUUAUAUAGAGAUGUAUUUGUUAUUCUUAAUUUUUUUGGUAAUAGCUUCACUUUGAAAUAGCCUACAAAUUAUAAAAGGAGAUAUAUUUGUUAUUUUAAUUUUAAUAAUCUCAAUCGAUUUUUGAUCAUCAAAUUAAAAGAGUUAAUUUUCUACUAGAAAAAGAUUUUAAUAUGUCAUCAAAUUUUCAAAAAAUGCUUAUCUAUAUCAUUUAGUUUAACUCAUUUGUGUCAUUGUUGUUAAAGAAAAAGCUCAUCCACACCCUUUUAUUAACUCCGAUUUACAGCCAUUUUUUACACACAAAAAAAACAUAAUUUAACUUUUUUCUCUUGUUUUUAGAUCAACUACACUCUUUAAAUUUUCAUGUUCCUAACUCACAUUGUAUUUUGAAUAAAAUUAAACAAAGAUAUUUGCAUAACUUAUUAUUAUGAGGAAACAUUAUUAAACCAGAUAUUCUGGUAAUGUAAAUUCAGACAAAAUAUUACGAUAUAAAAUAAUCUUUAAUUGUAUGAUUAUUUUAUGUUUCACUUCCAACCAGAACCAGAUGUCACCUAGAAAUAGACGAUAUUUAUGCUGCAAGUGUUAACAGUGAAAGAAGAAGGUUGAUGAACAAACACGACCCUUUUCCUAUAUUCUAAUAAUUUUUUUUAGACGUAUUCUGAAAGUCCUCACAAAAAUGCAUUUAAAAUAUUUACUGUACUAAAUAGGAAUAUAAUAGGCACGUAAAAUGAAAUCCAUGAUGUAACACAAUCCACAUCAUUAUUUGAGUUUUUAAUUAUUCUUUUUUUUUUUUGGUUAUAUGCAUAUAUACUAUUCAAGUAAAAAAUAAAUAAACGUAACAAAACCAAAAGAUAAACUUUAUAUCCAUAUCGACUCAAACAGUGACAGCAUAGACAAAUGUGGAUUGAUACAUUUACCAUAAGGUCAAAGGAAAUAAUGCAGUGUUCAAUUAAUAUUUUCUUAAUUAGACUUUUAUUCUCCAAAGUAAUGGAUGUGUCAUGUGUGCAUGUAAAAUAAGUUCUACGUAGUAUAACUCGUAUAUAAAUAAAUUUAGCUAUAGGCUAUAAAAUAGAAUUAAUUGCAUGAAAUAGAAAGGUUCCCCACUCACCAAUUAUGCUCUUAAAUUAUAUAUUGUACUCAUUUGUUGUAUCAUUAUCACUACUUUACUUAGGUUAGACUUGUCCUUCUUGCAAAUUUCAUUGCAUCUUUUCGCAAAGGCAUAAUACAUAAAUAUGCCUUUUAACUUAAUUUUGAAUAAUAUUUAUGUUCUUUAAUUUUGAGCGAAUACAAGUAGACAGUUAAAUUUAUAUAAAAUUGAACAAAUAGACAUACAUAUCAUGCAUGUCAUCCUACAUGUCAUUUUUUUGUCCUAUGUAACGUCUUACGUGUAUUGUAUCAUGCAAUACUCAUGUGUUUAUUUAUUUAAAAGUUGGAUAAUUAAAAUAUCUAUUUUGUGCAUUAUAAAAAUUAAAUAUUAAUUAAAAUUUGAAGCUAAAUUUAAGGUUCAAAAUAUAUAUAGCAUACCUUUUGCAAAUUGUUGCACCAUGGACCUGUUUUGUGUACGUGUCUUUCUUCUUCCUUUUUUUCUCUGAUCGUAAAUUUAAAAAAUUAUUUUCUAGUUAAUGUUAAAAUGAUUUUAUGUGACAUCAAAUAGAAAAAAAUUACUUUUAUAUGAUAAACUUAUAUAUCAUGACUUUUAUAUAUGGUAUUUACGAAUUAUAAAAAAAAUAUUUCUUUUUGAUAAUUCUGACUUUUAUGUAACAAAAUAUAUUAAAUAACAAUAAUAUUUGCAUGACAAAUAAAGCUGAAUAACCAUCGAUAAGAUAUAAUCAAUUUUAUAAGACGCAAACUUUUUUCUUUUGAACAUGUGUACAUUUACUUUUGUUCUUCUUCUUAAUCAAACUUGGUUAAUAAUUCUUUAUCUUAAACUUUAUCAUCAUUAAUAUGUGUUUCUUCUGUAAUUCCAUUCGAAUAAUUAAAGUGAUAUUUAUUUGAGGACCAAGUUGUUGGAAUAUACAUACCAUAAGAGAACUGAGCUUCAAACAAGUUGUUGGACAGUCAAAUUCACGUCCAGAAAAUCAAAACGCGUUAUAAACUCAUAAUCCAUAUAACCUACUUCAUAAUUUUCCAUCGUUAUAUAUAGGACUAAUUCCUUCUAAUUUUUCGUCCAUCUAAAAGCUAAUAAAUGAAUUUUUAACAAUAUCAAAUUAAUCAAAAGAUACUUACAAUCAACACGUAGUGGAAUUUGUAAUUUAAAAAUAAUAUAGAUUACGUACUAUAACAAAUAAAAACGAUCUGAUUAUAUUAUAAUAUUCUUUUACAACAUCCAUGUGUAAAAUUCAUAUGGCUUGGUUAGACAAAUAGUUUCCUUUGCCUCGGUCUAUGUUUUUGGUGGGCUGCUCUAUGUACUUAAGAAAAGAACAAAGCAAUAAAAUAAGCGUGUAUUUUGUCGUUUGAUUUGGCUAAUACACAAAAAAUUUAGUCAGAAAUUUAAAAAAUUAUAUAAAGAUUUCUUUUUACUUUUUUAGUUAAAAUAUAUUUAAAUUAAAAGGGUAAACAUAUUUAGAAAAAUAAAAUUAACAUAAAUAUAAUAACAAAUUCUGACCAAAAGGAUUUUUCUAUUAUCUAAACUGUAUUGUAUUAGAAGACUAAUUCCAUUCAAAUAUUCAUGUAUUCUGACAAAGAAAAGUGAUUAAUAUCAGGUCAACGCUGGAGCUAAAGGUUCAGAUAUCGAUUUGGUCAAAUCCAAUAACACUUAUCCAAAUAAAAUGUGUUUAUGUUAAUAAAAACUUAUUAAACUUUCAAUAAUAAAUGAUUGAAGACGUCGAGUAUGUUUGGUACGAAGGAAAACAUAUUUUCUCAUGUUGGUUGAGACAAAAGUUUUGAAAAAUGUUUUCCAAAUCAAUUCAUUUUCUUCGAAAUUAAGGAAAAUGACUUUCCUUAAAAAAUGAAGAAAAAUAUUUUCCAAAACUCUCCUCUAAUUUCAAAUUACAUUUUUUUUUGGAAAAACAUCAAUUUUAAAAAAAUAUUUUCAAUUUCAAAAUUUUAUAUUUUCAUCCGAUCCCAAACCUUCCCCCCCCCCCCCCCCCGCAAUCCCCCCUUCCCCCCUUCCCGAAAAGAUUAAUUUUGCUUUUCAAAAAUAUUUUCAACUUUAAAUUUUUAUUUUUAAACUCCUAUCCUCUCCUGCCAGACCCUACCCCUCCCCCCCCCCCCCCCCCCCAAUUUUUUUUUUAAAAAAUAUUAUCAAGUUCAAAUUUUUGUUUUUUCACUCCUUUCCCUCCCCCCUCCACCCCACCCCACCCCCUAAAAAAAUUAUUUUUAAAAAGUAUUUUAAAUUUCUACUCUAAUAAAAAUAAAAGAUGUUUCUUAAAAAUAUUUUUUAUUCAUAAAUUAAACACUAAAAAAUAUUUUCUACUCACCAAUUAAAUAUGAAAAAAUAAAUUCAAAAUCUACUUAUUUUUCAAAAAAACAUUUUCUAAAAAAAUAUUUUUCUUCGUACCAAACUCACGUUCUAAAAUCUUGUACUUUUAUUGGGCCGUUGGUUCAACAAUUCAAAAAGCAACAAACGGCGGAAGUUGAAAAGAAACAAAAAAUUAGGUGUACUGAUGAUCCUCUUUGGUAUACUCAAAAAAUUUUCCCACCAUCUUCUAAUCUUUAAUUUUAAAUUUAGAAGAUACCAUUAACAAAAUUCUAGUAUUUUAUUUAUUAAAAUAUUGUAUGUAUAUUCUCCAAACUUAAAUGAGCAAGUUGAAAUAAAUAUGAGAGAGUCAAAAUUGAUAAAUGGACCGGCUAUUACAUAGUUCAUAAUAUAUAAUUAAAUAAUAAAAAUGUUUUCUUUCUAAUAAUAAGAUAGUCAUAUAUAGUUCAACAUGAUACUAGAGCAGACACAGAUUUUAAGGUUGAUUCUUUCUGUCAUUCAUUUUAAAACAGAUUCACAUAUUUAAUCCAUAAAAAAAAUCAGAAUCACACGUAAGGAAACAUAUUGAGAUUUGAGAAUAUAAUUACAAAAAAUGACCUAUUAUAAUAUUAAAAGAAUUUUCAGGCAAGGGAGCAUGUUAAGAUUCAAGAAUAUAAUUUGAAAAAAAUUGAACUAUUAUAAUAUUAAAAGAAUUUCCACAAAAAGAAUUCCGUGGCGUUGAGAUUGGGGAAUACAAUUAGGAAAAUUGACCUAUUAUAACUUCACCUGCCUAAAUCUUAAUUUUUUCUUUUAACUAUCUAGAAAACAAUGAUUUGUCUUUAUUAUCGCUUUAUUCAAUUUAUUUCCUGUUAACAAGGAUUAGCAAUUUCCAUUACUUGCAACUUGUUAAACCACAUUAACUUAUUAGAUACACAUAACUGAGAAAAGUUUGUACAAUUAUUUGAUUUGGUAUGAAAAUGUGCUGGAAAAUUUGAUCACGUAGCCAGCUGUAAGUAACCCUGUCAAUUGAAUAGAUGUUAAGUGUAGAUUUUCUGGUCUGUUUUCUUAUUCAAUUUUCAUAUAGAAAAAGAGUGUAUAUUAUGUUGGACUAUUUAUUUCCUUUACUAUUCUAUUGUCACAAAUAUACGUAUUCACUUACAGUUGAUCACACUUUGUUUUGAUCAUUGUUAUUUAUUAUUUCAUAGUAUAUUGUAUUGUAUUGUAGGAUAGAUACAAUGUUUGGCUAGACGGUAUUGUUUGCUACUGUUUAAUAAUAUUUUUGUUGUUUGGUUUGACUGUAUUGUAAUUUAUAAAUUUACUAAAAUGUUCUUAAUUAUUCUAGGUUGGAAGGUUUGAUUGAGAUUAAAUAAUAUAGCGUAAAGCGUAAAAUAGUAUUAUGAAAUAUUAAUUAAGGAAAUAAUAUGGAAAAAAAAUUAAGUAACAAUGAGAAUACAAUAAAUGGGUUGUUUCAUAGCAUGAGUUUUUCAUGGUUACAUAACAAGAAAAUUUAACAAUACAAUAUAAUACAUUUUAAGUAACAAUACAUGAUAUGAUACGUAAGAUAACAGUACAAUACAAUAUAAUGACUAAAGUGUUACUCUACAUAAUAGUAACAAAUAGAAUUUUGAAACUCUUUUGUGUUUGGUGUUGAAUGACCUAAAAUUUUCAGCCUUCUGAUUAAUAAUUACUGUUGUCAUGUCAAUAUGGAUUCAAUUUGUCUUUUCACUCUAUAAUUUCAUUAACAAAACUAUAUUACAAAGAAGCUGAUUCCUUUGAUUUCCAUUCUACAUACUCUUGUCUUCGUCGUAGUUGAAAGGCAGGGGUACAGACUUGGAGGCACGAUAUUUCCCAACAUUAUUUAAGUGUUCAUUUUCCAACCUGAAAAACUACAAACUGUUACAACCAUUAAUUUUUCUGUGUAUUCCAGAAAAAUUGAAACUGAACUGACCUGAAAAAGUUCCACAUGCCUCUGCGGAGGAUUUCCAAACAGGCAACAAGUGCAAUAAAUGCUCUCCUAUGCAAAAAAGGUAGUUGUUGAAAAUCUAGAACCAACUGCAUCCAGACUAGUCUCAGAAUAAUGUUAAGAACCUGCAUUUUACAGUAACCAAAUAAUUAGUUAAUCCCAAUGCAAGUUAAAAGUUGAUUUUUGAAACCUAGCUACUUACAAUAGCAACAAAGUAGACAGACUUGUAUGGCACAAGUAGCUUGUCUCUCAACCACGGAUUUUUCGAAUUCCUUUGCAAUAAACCCCAAUCUACCACAAGGUCCCAAUAAGUGUUUCCAACUGUAGUAAUUCCUGAAGUUGAUGCUGCCAUGACUCUCCAAAACGUACCUCUCUUCUGAUCAUAUAGGGUCCUCAUUACAAGAGCAACAACUGUUGAUAAAUAUUUAAGGCUAUUAAACCCCUGCAUCAAAUCUCUCUCUUCAAAUACGCGACGAAGACACUGCAUAUAUCAUAAAGCAGCAUCAUGUAUUAAGAUAACUCUUGUUUGAAUUAAUGAUCAUUACUCUUGUGUAAAACUUCUUUCAAACCUGAAUAAACCGAGACCAAAAGGGAAUUAUUGCAAGGAAUAUGUAUAAGAUUGGGUAAAUUUUGCUCUCUUGACAUGUAUUUGAUCUUUCUCUGAAGUUGCCCCACCCAUAGUAGCACACGUAGAAUUGUAAACUCCUAAUUGCCUGAACCUGAAAUGCAACAAUUCUAUCUGAUAAGUUACUCAAAAUUUGCACAUUACACUGACUCAAUUGUCAACUUCUUUUUGUAUAACAUAGAAGCUCAAGUGUCAAACCUGGCUGGUAAGUUGAUCUGCCAAGAAAAAAUCUGGUAGAGUAACCUGCAAAAUGAUGCGAGACAUUUUACUAUCUAUGUAAGUUCUGUUAUAGUAAUGUAUGUGAAUCUGUAUUAUCUCUUAAACAAACUGCUGGUACCUUAUAAAGUGGAGCCAACAGACAGCGCCACACACAUUUUAUAAAGAAGAAACGACUUGAACGAUAUAUGAUGUUCAGAGGAAGAAAAGUUACUGUAAGCAGAAUCUGAAAAAAGAUAUAAGAUUAUUAGGAGGUUUUAAAUUUGAAACCUAUUAUAUAGUCUAUAGAUUAAUCAUUGAAUGCAAGUAAAAGAAGAAGUAAUGUUUUUCUAGACUUACAAUCACCAGGGCAAGUGGGGUCAGCUCAGUCAGUGUCUGAAAACUCUGUGUUUCCGGAUCAAUAUCCAUAUCCAGAUGAUAGAGUGCUGCAGCCAAUGCAAGUAACGAAAGACCAGAAGCAAGGAGGAGAACUUGUCUGUAACCUAACUCCGUUCCCUGCUUGAACCCAAAUAUGAAGGGAUAAUUGACUCGAAAACGCCUCCAAUAGUAUAUAUUUGCUCCGUACAUGACUAUAUGCAGGACAACGAAUCCGAAUAGGCUGCAAAGACACACCGUCAUUACUCGUAUUAAGUGCUGAAAACAUAGGUUUUUCUUGUGUAUUGACAAAAGGAAAGAAUCGAUAUGACUUCAAAAGAAUGAUGAUUAGUUCACCUGUACAGUGGAAAUAUGUUUUCCAUAUACUGUCCUCGAUCCUCAUUCUCCAGAAGAGUUCCUGCACGUAUUGAUACAGCAAUUGCUGCUACUAAUGCUAAUGAGCAGCCAGAGAACAAACCUGUAGGCGAAGAGUAUAUCAGUUACUGAAAUGAACAUAUGAUUGAUGCUAAUAGAAUUGCAAUGCUUACCAAGAAGAAAUGUUACUCUAUGUGUUUCUCGCUGUGCUUGUGGUCUUAAAUAUUUCAUUCCUUUCUUUCGAUUUCCAUCAACAAAAUGCUUUAUGAAAGUAACUUCCACUCCUUCCAUGAGCUUCAAAACCUAAAAAAAAAAAAAAAAAAAACAAAGAUGGAUGAGCAGUCCAAAAACUAUAGUCACAAGUGGAAUAAUGCUGAGAGGAAAACAAUUUUUGAAAUUGAAAGAAAAUGUACCUCAUCCGAACUACGAAGAUAAGAUUUUUCAAUCACCUCUAAGUAUGAUUUAGAAGCUUUCCUUGAACUGAUCUGUAUCAACAACUUGCAAGGUUACUUGGCAAAACUUGGUAACUUUCUAUGUCAAAUAGUUAUCGAUAACUUCAGUGUUGUACCUUAUCAUACUUCUUCAUGAUCUUGGAAAAUGCCAAUACAUUUAAGGAACUGGUAAAAUCAAGUAGCAAAGUAUGAGCUGAUUUGAGCACAAAAACAGCAGUAACUCCUAUUUUGAGGGUAAAAGUACAACAUUUACCUGUAUCUUUUUAGAAGUCUCAGCUUUUGAUAGAACUCAACAAAAGCCUUUUUCAUUUGUUCUUCGACUUUUCUGAGCUCUUCUUUGCUGAAUGAUAGGUUUGGUUUUGAAGUCAUGAUACAUCUUAAAGUCGAGAUAGGUGUUUCUGGUUCAAUAUUGAUUUUUACAUAGUCAAGAACCUCUACUGGAGCAGGCCUAAAAUCGCGGGGAAUCAUCUCUGUAGUAUCUCUUUUCCCUAUUUUUGCUUUCUCUUCCAGAAUUUCUUCACUUGUCAUCUCAACUUCUUGAACUGUCUCCUGUUCCAGUAUUUCUUCGUUGUUCAUCUCAACUUCUUGAAUUGCCUCCAUAUGUGGUCUACCUAUCUUGGAUUUAAACAAGAAUUCGAAAAAAUUAAAGAACAAGUUUUAACAGCUAAAACAUCUCUUGUGAUUUGUUUCAAGUCACUCUGCAUUACUAAGGGCACAAAUGACCCCAAAUAUAACGAAUUAUAACUUAUUUUCCCACCAAAAGACGGAACAGUAACAUAAUAGCAAUAGUAUCAGCAGAGAUUGGACAUACCUGGACUACUAAAAUGCAUAGUAUCCACUGAUGCUGGAGAGAAAACACUAUCCUCAUUGCUAAAAGUAUCAAUGACUUGGUCCACGAUUGAAAUCUUAUCAACUUUGAUUCUUAGAGCAAUAAGUGCAUCCAUUUGUUUACUCAAUGCUUCAGCCUCCACCUUAACUUCCCCUACUUUUUUCUUGUAAAAAGUUAACACCUUGUUAAAUUCAUCAUCUAAUGACCUAAAGAAAUUCAGCUCACAUUCUCCGCCUUCUUCACAGGACACAAGGAAGGUGGUUUCAUAGUGAGAUUCAGAUCCCUCUUGCUGCACUGAAUUCACUACUAUCACUUCAUCUUCAUGAUUGUUUUUCCCUUUGAAACUGUUGUAUCUAAUUUGUAAUCCACUAAAUGCUCUGUACAUAGAUACCCUUCUCUUUAAGGACCCUCUUGGAGUGGCUGCAACUUCAGGUAAUGGUGCAUUUUUCUUCUUGAAAUUCAAGAUUUCCAUCAGAAGACUUUUAAGAUGAUUAUAAUCCAUAUACGCUUCUUGCCAUUCAUGCACCAUUUGGGAUACAUAUUCUUUCCCAAAUUUCAUCUUUUAUCAGUGUUAUAAGAAAAAAUACUGAACUUCCUCUGCUUUAUAUUGUAGCCAUGAAUGGAUGAAUGGUCAACAAUCGAGCUGUUACAUGAAUGAGUUGCCCAAAAUAGGAAGUUUCAAAGAAUGUCUUAUAACAAACACAUGAAUUAAUAUUAAUCUUUUCUCUUGAUAGCUGAGGAGUUUACAAGUUUUUACUGUCUCAAUCAAUAUUUUAGAUAAAUCUCUUUAAUAAUUCAUUAGUGGAGCUGUAUGUUACAUAAUAAAGGCACCCAUGGCCCAUGAAUAUUAGUGAUUGUUUCAUAAUGGUGGUGUUUGGUCCCAUCUUUUAUGCGCUUAACAGUUCUGUUCUAAUUACUCCGUUACUUUUAAAUUGAUAUAUCUAUUAAAAAUUUUAAUAUAAUGUAUUUAUUAUUUUAUUUUUAUUAAUUAUAAAAUAGAUGAAUUAGAAAAAUUUAAGAGUUUCAAAAAAAUUACAUUUUUUAAAAUAAUUUAUUAAAAAAUAUAAUAAGUAAAAAAAAAUUCUUUUUUUAAUUUAUCAAAAUAAGUAAAUAAUUAAGAAAAACUAAAAAAAAAAAGGGUGAAUGAAUAAUUGAGGACAGAAAAAAAGUACCUAUCCAAGUAUAUCAUGUAAAAAAAUCACUUUGUCAAAAGAAAAAUCAUACAACUUUGUCGGUCAUGCUGACAAAAAGAAAAGUAAAUAUCACCUGAAUUUUCAUAUUUUCUACUCCUAAUUAGCUUAAUAAAACAUAUUAAAUGUAAUAGAGUAAUUUGAAAGACUUUUCCUCGGAUUUCUCUUUGUAAUAUAUUAAAGAUAAUUUGACUUAUGUGAAGUUUAAAAAUAUCAAACAAAAUAAGAGAAUGACUAAUUCAUAAUGUCAAGUGAAAUUUAAAAUCGUUACUUUAUAAAAGGAAACUUUAUUUAAAUAAAUCAUUUAAUUUAUAUUUAUAUGUUAAUACAAUAGUUUAAUAUUUUUAUGUUUAAUAAAACUAUCAUACGAAACUAUAUUAGCUAUAUACUUUAACCAAUAUAUAUUAAUUAUUAAUAAUAUAUUCAUCGUCUUAAAAUUCUGAAUUUAGAACAAGGUCAAUUUUAUCUCCUAAUUUUAUGAGAGUUCUAAAUACAAUAGUUUGAUAUUUUUAUAUGUAAUAAAACUAUCAUACGAAACUAUAUUAGUUAUAUACUUUAACCAACAUACAUUAAUCAUUAAAAAUACAUUCAUCGUCUUAAAAUCUUAAAUUUAAAACGAACUUGUUUUAUGAGAGUUCCAAAAGGGAAUUUUGUUGGCCGUCUUUACUGAUUAAUCAAUAGUAUACAUUGUUUUCCUUGGGUGUUGUAAUUGAAUGGUGUUUGCUUAUGACCUUUAACUUGUUAAAUCAUUUUGAAGUGCGGCCAGAAAAAUUGAUCAAAUUUAAUUAGAAAGUUUAUAAAAUUAUGAUUUUUUCUUUUAUUUUAAAAGAAAAUAGCUUUUUCUAAUUUUUAAUUAAAAAAUAUUAAAUCUAAAAAAGUAAAUAUAUUUAAAAAUAAAAUAAAUUUUAUGACCAAAAGAAUUUUCUCGAGUCAUUUCACUUUCACGUAAAAUGUCGAAAAUAUAUGGGACCUCAACAUUCAUUAUUUUGUUAAAUAGUAAGUCUUUUGAUAUAGAAAGGUGGCCCAUGUAUAUUAAUUACGAUUAGUUGUUUUCUUCGCCAAUCAUUUUCCCGUGGUUAUGCUAAUUCCAUCCAUGCAUAAUAGAUACUACUUCCUCCGCCCACAUUAGGAUUAGAAUUAAUAAUUUGGUGUUCUAAAUUUUAAAAUAAAAAGAAAAAAAUAUUGUAAACCUACGACACUAGAUGUGAAAAGCAUUUUAAGAAUCCUUACCUACCAUUAAGCUACAAAUGAAUUUUAUUAGGUGGUUACAUAUGAAUAUGAAUAUGAAUAUAUAUGUAAGUUUUUAAUAUAAAUACAUGAUUGAUAGAAAAGUUAGUAGGUUCAUUUGAACGCUUGAGCUAUCACUUAACUUCGUUUUAGCCUCAACCUCAUUUUGUAUGAAUCAUUGGAUUUGACGUAAUAAUAAUAGCUUUUAAAUUUAAAAAUAAAAAAAUUAAACUUAAAUUACUUUUAAGUCAAAAAAUAAAAAAUGGUAUUUUGAUUUUUUAUUUUAUUUUAAAGUUAUUUAUAACCUUAUCAAACACUAUCCAAUUUAUUUUAAGUCAUUUAUGACUUAUUUCAAUAAAAAUUGACUUAAAAGUAAAUUUGAUCAACUUUUAAAUCAAUUAAACAUGAAAUACCUGACUCGACAGUAAAAUUUUUAAUAGAUAAAAGGUUUUUAAAUGCCUUAACGUAUUGAAAAAAAAAAGAAGAAAUACCCUCCUUCUACUUAUUGAAUCAAAAUGUUGUUAAAGGUUAUUUUUAAAUUUAAAAAUGCCAUCUUUAGUAAAAUUUUGACAUAGGAUAAAUAAAAUUUUAAAUUAAACACAUGACAUUAAAAUAUUGAUUACAUAAACUUUUUAAAUUUAAAAAUAUUCUUAAUAAAUAAAAUUUUAAAUUAAACACAUGACAUUAAAAUAUUGAUCACAUAAAUCUUUUAAAUUUAAAAAUAUCCUUUUUUAAUAAAAAUUUAACAUGAGAUAAAUAAAAUUUUAAAUUAGACACAUGACAAUAAAAUAUUGAUCCACAUCAAUUUUUGACCCAACUUAAUUAAUCUAGUGGGUCAUUCUUUGAAUUUAAUAAAGUUCCAAAAAUUAGGAAGAAAGUGAAAAUAUAAUAAAAUUGACAUGAGCCAAUAAAAUUAUACUAAAUAAUAUAAAUAAAGUUAAUCAGGGGUCCAUUUAUUCUUUAAGCUCAUCAUAAAAGAAUACAGAAUUCAAACAUCAUUUUUCUUCAACUUUGAAUGUUUUUUUUCUUCUUUUUCAUCUAAAUUUAAAAAAUUAUAAGAAUUUAUCUCUCAAUAUUAGGAAUUGGCAAAAAGAAAAUUUGCUUAAAAUAUUUUUCAAAGAAAAUUUGGAUCUCUAAAUACAAAUAUAAUUAAGUUUACAUAUAUAUUCAAAAUGAUUUUUGUAAAAAUUAUUCGAAAUGAUGUUACUUUAAUACAAUUUCAAAAAAAAAGUGAGUUAAAAACAAAUUAUUUUUAAAAGUAAUAAUUGUUAUGUUUAAAUGGAUCCUAAAAAUAGAAGUUAAAAAGAAAUAAAUUCAAAAGAUGAAAAAUUUAAAAUACGAUAAGUGAGAAAUAAUUUAAUCCUAUGAUACGAAUACGAAUUAUAUUCAUAUUUAAAUUUGACUAGAUAAUUAUUUAACCAUAAAAAAUAAAAUAUAUUUUUAUUUAUAGUAUAAAAUUGAAAAAGUAAUUGAAUAGGUCUUCAAAUAUUUUAUUUUAUUUAAAAGAAAAGGAAAAACAGACUAGAAAAAUGGAAGAAGAGAAAACCAUGAAAGAGAAAUAAAAGGCAAAGAAAUAAAAAUCAAGACUGAAUCUCAUUAAUCAGAAUAUAAUUGCAAUAAAAAAUAGGGCCCCCACACAACUAAUAUAAAUUGUACCGUAAAUUUUUUCAAAAAGCUUCAGUGUUAAAAAAUAACAAAAUUUUAUAUUAGUUACUAACAAGAUGAACGAAUUAAAAUCUCACCUAAUUUUACAUAUCUAAAAUAAUUAUAAAGAUCGCAUAAUUACAAAUUAUUUUAUUAAAAAUAAAAUUUAUAUUUUAAAGAUAAAUUAUUAUUUAUAUAAAAUAAAAAUAAAAGUGAAAUCAUAUCAAGUAAACAAAUAGGUAACAAUUUUUGCGGAAAGGGGCAUUCGUAGUAGCACAUUGAUGUUCGAAAAAAACCCAUAUAUUUAGAUAUUAUUUAUCUCACACUAUAGCAUUUUUUUUUAAUUUUAAAAGUAUAAUUGUAUUAAUUUCUGUUUAAUAUUAUGGUUUUACCGUGUAGAAAUAAAUUGAUAUAAAAAAAAUUCGAAAAAAGGGCAACUUUCACAUAUAGCAAACAAAAAAUUCAUAUUUAUAUGCUAUAGCAAAUUUUGCAUAAUUGCGCUCCAUAGCAAACAUAAAACUGUAUAAUUCACUAUACAUAUACAAUUGUAUAAUUCGCUCGCCUAAAUUGUGGCCUAUUUCGCUGCAAUUGUAUAAUUCGCUAUCCUAUUUCACUGCAAUUGUAUAAUGCACAAUUGUAUGUAUAUUACAUAAUUAUAAGUGUAUAGCAAGAAGAUAUAUGUUUUUCUCUCGCUUUAUACAAAAACAGAAACACAAUAUAUACACUUCUGUUGUAUAAAGCUAGAGAAAAUUAUAUUUCACUGCAAUUGUAUAAUUCGUUGGCCUUUUUCUCUGCAAUAUUUGUAUAAAAUUUGCAUUUGUCUACAAUUGAAUUGAAGUAAAAUGUUUGUAAAUUGUAUAAUUAAGUGUAUAACACGAAGAUAUAUGUUUUUGUAUGUGUAUAUACAAUUUUCUCUCGCUUUAUACAAAACAGAAACAAAAUUAUACACUUCUGUGUAUAAAGCGAGAAAGGCGAGCAGAGAGUGACGAGCGAGAAUGGGAGAGUAGCGAGCGAGAUUUUUGGGAGAGAGACGUCUGACGAAUUUUGACUAAUGUUUACUAUGGAGUACAAUUAAAUCAAACCCUAGCUACUUCAAUUAUUUUAGGUUAUUAGUUUACUAGUAUAUAUAAUUUUAAAAAAAAAAACGAAAAGAAGAAGAAAAAAAAGGGAAGGGGAACUAGUGGAGGACAUUAUGAUGUGGAAAGGUAAUACGAAAUUAAAGUUGUCGCAGAAUAGCAGCAUCUCAAGCGACCAAAUCGUCGAAUGGAAUCAGUGAUUGAACAUUCGAUUUUACGCUAAUUUAUCUUAUAAUUUUAUAUUAUAAGGUGUGAUUUCAUAUUCUUCAAAAAUUAUGAUAUAGAAUCAUAUAGAAUUUCGUAUCAUGAUUUGAGAUACUUUUGUACAAAAAUUGAUCUCCAAAAUUAUAUUUGUAUCUACUAACCAUUUAUUUCACAACAUGUAAAUAAAUUUUAUAAUCACAUCAUUAUUUUUUAAAAUUUAUUGUUUUCACCAACGUAAAUUUAUUAUUCUCUCCAAUAUUUAGUCAUUUUAAUUUAUACUUCACGAUUGUUGAGUAAUAAAAUCUUAAAGAGCCCAUGAAAUGUGUUUCCUUUUUAGUCAAAUAUAUUGAUGAAACAAUUACUUAAGUGGAGAACAAAUACUUUUUUAUAAUAAUUUAUCAUAAGAUUGAAUAAACAAUUGAAGCUAUUUUAAUAGUUUUAUAACUAAUGAAAUUUUUAUAUCUAUGAAAAAAAUAUACAACACCAAAAUCCAAUAUCUUAUGUCCAAACAAAACUUUAAUUUCAUCUCAUGAUUCCAUAUCAUAAUACCAUAUCGCAUGAUCAAAUGGGUCAUUAGUAUUUUCUUUUGAAGUCAAACUUUCAUUAAACAAACAUAAAUUAAUUCAUUUUAAUUAAUUAAAUUGACCGAUUAAAAGUAAAUCAAUCAUAUUAUUUUUCAUUGAUUAAAUUUAUACUUUCAAAAUUAAUAAUUUUUCUUAAAGAUAAAAUAGAAAUAAUAUUUUUAUUUUAUGAAUUGAUUUUGUGAGGGUAAAAUUAUCAAAAAAAAAAAUUCUUUUUUAUUUCCUUCUUAUAAAUAUUAGUCUUUUAUCAUUAUGCACGAUUUACACUAGGUUGAAUAUUGACUCUCAAAUAGUGAGUAAAUAGGGUGAAUUAUUGGGAUUGCUAGUUAACUUCUUGAGUUUGAUUAUCAAAAUGUUACCCCUUUGUGAUUCUUGGUUUCAUUUGAUUAUUUUUUCUUGGGUUGAAUUUGAAAUAAAUUGGAAGGUGAAGAUUUUAGUUCCUUAUUAUUCAUAAUUUUAAUAAUUUGAGUAUUAAACCACGUAUUUUAGGAAUAUCUAGAAAUAUUUAUUUUUUAAUAAAGAACUGAAAGACUAAAUUCCUUAAAUUAUUAGCGUGCUCCGUUGUUUAUGGUCGUGUUGUUUCAUAUCCUUUAUCAGAUUUUUGAGUAAUUUAUAAAACAUGACUAUUUUUUUUACUGAACAGAUCAUUGGGUUUCUGGUUUGACCAAUUUUUUAAGUAUUUUUCUGCAGCUGGCGAACGUGUAGUCCAAGUGAUUACACAAAAUAAAUUCAAGCCGAACAAUGGAAAAUAUCUUCUUCUCUUUAUUUUCCCCACAAAGAAAAGUAUAUUAUAAACAAUCAAAGAAUUGUACAAUAAACCAGAAAAUCAUUUUGAGUCUUUUGAUUUGCUGGUAUCAGUUAAUGACUCUUGUCCUCAUCGUAGUUAAAAGGCAGAGGUACAGACUUAAAGGCACGGUAUUUCCCAACGUUAUUCAAGUGCUCAUUUUCCAACCUGAACAAUGAUCAAAACAGCAUAACUAUUGUUACUAUGUCAACAAGUUACAUAAAAUUUUAACUUAAUUAUAAUAUACGGUGUGUAAACAACGUUAUUUCAACUGUUGAUGUAUAUAAUUAAACUCUGAUAGAUAUAAUGUUUCAUACCUGAAAAAGUUCCAUAUGCCUCGACGAAGGAUUUCCAAACAGGCAACCACUGCAAGGAAUGCUUUCUCGUGCAGAAACGAGAGUUGUUUAAUAUCUAGAACCAAUUGCAUCCAUACUAGUCUCAGAAUAAUGUCAAGAACCUGCAUUUAGACUCAAAAUCAUCAAAAACUUUAUCGUAUUUUUAAUAGUUAAGUUUUGAAUUCUGUGUCUGCACUUACAAUGGCAACAAAGUAGACAAUCUUGUGUGGCACAAGCAGUUUGUCUCUCAACCAAGGGUUUUUGGAAUUCCUUUGCAACAGACCCCAAUCUAUGACUAGAUCCCAAUAAGUGUUUGCAACUGUAGUAACUCCUGAAGUUGAUGCUGCCAUUACUCUCCAAAACGUUCCUCCCUUCUGAGAAUAAAGUGUCCUCAUCACAAGUGCAACAAUUGUUGAGAAAUAUUUGAGGCUAUUAAGCCCCUG
rnacentral:lncRNA from 1 species